GCUUCUCUAGGCUUCUCUAGGCUUCUAUGGACUUCUAUAGGCUUCUAUGGACUUCUCUAGGCUUCUAUGGACUUCUGUAGGAUUCUCUGGGCUUCUAUGGACUUCUGUAGGUUUCUAUGGACUUCUAUAGGAUUCUCUGGGCUUCUAUUGGCUUCUAUAGGCUUCACUAGUCUUCUAUUGGCUUCUGUAGGUUUCUCCAAGCUUCUAUAAGCUUUUAAAGGCUUCAACAUGCAUCUCUAGGCAUUUAUGGGCUUCUAUAAGCUGCUAUAUGCUUCGCUAGCCUUUUUGUUUUUGGCAGCAAAGAUUAAUGCUCGUCAGACGAGCAGCAUUUAAUACGUCAUUUUGUGUCCCGCUCCGAUGCAUGGCUUCACUGAGAGUCACUUCAUCGUGGGUUUUGCCUAGAGAAAACUAUCUCAACGUUUAUAAUACAGUGCGCUCUUCGCUCGUCCCGCGGGGCCAGACGCACAAAUUCCCCAGACGAUGACCGGGAGAUCCCUCAGUGGCGAUACCUUAAAAUCUGCUGCCGAUCACUGAAACGAACAUGCCUGACAUCUCACACUUAAAACAUAUCAGCACCACUCAGACUCUCAGACCGCAUCGCUGAAUGUCAGAAACAGAAUGCUAUGUUUGAUUAUUUGUGUUUAUUUCUAGAUCUGGCUAGCUGUCAUUCAUUUCUACAGUGAAAUUCGACUAGCUACUAAACAGACUAGCUACUUCUGAUGCUCUUAUGAGAACAGAUAAAAACAGAACGCACAGAUAUACAGCACGGAUGCUCGGUUUUAACUUGAAGAGACGGUCAGAAAGAAAGCAGACGCACUACAGAACACAUUGCUGUUUUUAUUAGAGCCUAAACCGGCAAUAAUACUGAAAAACGUCAACUCAGAACAGAUGGUGGCAACCCACGGCUUUUUUUUUUUUUUUUUUUUUUUUUUUUGGUAAGAGUACAUUAACUCUCGUUUUUUUUUUUUUUUUUUAAAUGUGGCAUGAAUAACAUCAAUAAAAGGGGGAAAAAAGAAAUAUACAACUUAUAUUACACUGUGUUAUGAACAAAAUAUAAAUCUAUACCUCUAUGUUAUAUUUACAUAAUUAUCUUUUAGCGAUUUUUUUCAAGUUGAGAUGGUAGGAUUUGUUUUUUUUUUUUUUUUUAAAGAAUGCAUGUAUGUGUGUGUGUGUGUUUUAGUUUGAAUUUUUUUUUCACUUUUGUUUUGAGCUCCACCCAUGACCUUGAUUGUCUUAUCUAUUAUUAUUCAUAGCAAAAAAAUGUCAUGCUUUAUAUAAUAAAUGAUUGACAGCUUUAGACCCUGUCCUUCAGAAUAUGUAUGAUUGUUAAAGGGUCCUGAUUGUGAUUGAAAAAAAUAAAAUAAUAAAAAAAUAAUAAUAAUAAUAAAAAAUUACACAUCAGGAUGGAAACUAAUGUUAAUGUUGUGAUUUUAUGAUUUUAAAAGGUGUCGGGCAUGGCGUGGAGCUAAAACAAAUCCAUCAUGGAGUCCCGUAGAGGUCACGUAUCUGAUAUGAGUCACUCGGUGGAGCAUCGCAUGAGCCUCUUCGAAUUUUUGAUAGAUAUUUCUUUUGUUAGAAUUAUCUUUAACACGUCCAAACUGGAGGAGACUUCAAAUUUGUAAAUAUGUAUAUAUAUAUA
ensembl:lncRNA